rnacentral:lncRNA from 1 species
AACGUCACGUGUUUGUGUCUACUGUGUUGACCCGUUCACACACAGGCUUCGAUCGACACCAUGCGGUCCUCUGUGGUAUUUCUCCUGGGAUUAUUUGGAUAUUUAAAUUUUCCUUGGAAAUGUAACAAUGUUCAACGUGAAGGUUAUCAAGAACCAUCGAUCGUCAUCUCGAAAACUCUGGAACAACCUCCAAUGGUUCCUUUUCAGGAGAAGGUUCCCAAGACCUGCUCUCUGAAGGAACUUCCGACAUGGACCCGCUUGAGGCAUCCAUCCCUAUGUUGGAUGUCUUGGGCAACAGAAUUGAACGGAAACCAAUCAAUACAUGGGAACGAUCAAUCUGAGCAGAACAUAUUGAAAGACAAUCUGCGGACAAAUUUGAUGGAAAGAACCUCUGGAAGCAAAACCUUACAAGAACCUGUUCCUCAUGAGAAUGAAGACAUCAACAUCUGCCCGAUGGAUCCUUCACUGUCGAUCUGCCUGAGGGUUCCUCUUCGACGAAUGUAUUCAGUGAAGGAAUUUGAUGGGAAACCAUCAAUGUACUUGGAUGAUCGGUCAGAGCAGAACAUGUUGAAAGACAAUCUACUGCCAAACUUGAUGGAAAGAACCUCAGGAGGCAAACCCUCACAGGAGCCUGUUCUUCAUGAGAAUGAAGACGUCAACACCUGCCCGAGGGAUCCUUCACUAUGGACCCGCCCGAGGGGUCCUCCACGACGACAAAAGUCUCCAGUGAAGGAAUAUAAUGGGAAACCUUCAAUGAACCUGGUUGAUCGGUCUGAGCAGAUCAUGUUGAAAGACAAACUACUGCCGAACUUGUUGGAUAGAACCUCAGGGACCAAAACCUCACAGGUUCCUCAUGAGAGUGAAGUUCCCAACAUGUUUCUGUUAAAUUCUCUGAUAAAGAAACCCCCGAGGCGAACUCCAUCAACAUUAAAGUUUCCAACAACGGAGCUUUCCAGAAAUGGGAAUGGAAACCUGGAGAAAGGUUCUGCACCAGACUGUCUGGAGUGCAAGGAAAGCGAUGUUGACAUGGUCCACCUGGAGCAUGAGGAAAAGGUGGUGGUGGUGGUGGUGGAUCCUUUUUUGGAAAUCCUGUUUCUGGUGCUGAUGGCUUCUCUUGCAAGCCUCUUCAUGAUGAAUUCACCAAAGAGAUUGUUCAGGAUCUUCACGUCACCAAAGCGGAAUCAUCGGAAGGGGAAGAAGGGUUGGAGGCACUGGAAAUGGCGAAAUAGAUGGAAGACAAACAAAAUGCACGUGCCAUAAAUGGGGGCAUGGAUAACAUAGACUGGAGAUAGAAAUUAUUUAAACUGUAGACCGGAAUGAUUUCGAUUGCAGACAGAAAUGAUGUAGAAGACUGCAAACAGGAAUGAUUCAGAUUGUACAUUGAGAUGAUUGUGAGUGUAAAUUAUAUACUUUGUGGUGAAUAAAAAUAAAUAUUAUA